CGGAGGCCAUUGCUAUUGGGAUUCGAUUUAGCCAUGCUAGUCGUACGAGUUCAUACUCGUGGCGAAUAGCUCAGUAACACGUGGCCAAACUACCCUUCGGAGCACAAUACCCUCGGGAAACUGAGGCUAAUAGUGCAUACCACAAUCCACCUGGAAUGAGGAUUGUGCCAAACGCUCCGGCGCCGAAGGAUGUGGCUGCGGCCGAUUAGGUAGACGGUGGGGUAACGGCCCACCGUGCCAAUAAUCGGUACGGGUCAUGAGAGUGAGAACCCGGAGACGGAAUCUGAGACAAGAUUCCGGGCCCU
rnacentral:rRNA from 5 species